GAAGCCCAUCAUAAUUAAUAAUCGGUGAUCAUCUGAAACGCUGCAAUCACUUUCUUUUCCAUUUAACUUUCGGUUUACCCUGUCUCCUCAUCUCCUUCUCUUUCUCAGCCUCUGAUAAACGUUCAUCUCUCAACCAUUGCAAUGAGUGAUCCCUUCACAUUAAACUCGCUUUACUAUCAAAGCCUGAAGCAUUGUAUAACCGAAAAACACAUGAAAACCUAUAAAUAUAUGAGGGUUGAGAUUGGAAUAUAUCAUCUAAUACACAGGCUUUGAGAUUCUCUUACGUCUAACCCUAGAUCACUCCUUUGAAAAUUUCUUCCUCAGUUCUUCCGAUGCAAUUGUUUCUCAAUCUGAUACUCCCCCCCACGCCCCCCCCCCCACCGGCCACCAAUUUUUACUUUGACCUGAGAAUUGCUGCCAUCAAAGCUUUCACAACCCAGGAAAACAUGACACUGAUAAAAGCUCUAGCACACAGAAAUAAAAGUUUUGAUCUUAGCGGGGUUGAGUUUCAGAAACUGAGGAUCAACUUAAGGAAUGUGCAGGAAAAGAAUUUGCAACUUGCACAGGCAAACAGUCAUACGUUGGAUGUGUGUUCUCCAUCUUUUUAUUGUUCAGUUUUGAGAUGAUUAAGAGAUUAUUUGAAAUACUAUGGUCAAAGUAUGGCGUCUUCGUCUUUUAUUUUUCCUGGCAGGAGCUCAGUACAAACAGAGACAGGGCAUGCUUUUCUGGAAUUGAAGUCGCUCAAAACGAGGCUUUCCUAUUUCAUUAUAUUGCAGCUUCCAUGACCAACUGACAUUGUGUGUACGUUUUCAGCUCAAGCUGCAAGAAUGUAUUACUCGAAUCCAAGAAAAUGCAUACUGAGGGCAAUAGUGUAUAUCAAAUCCUUCCUUGAUAAAUUCUGAUCUUUAACUCUAUAUUGAGAGGUGCGGCUACAAAGCUCUUCCCACGUGUAGAACUUGUGACACCUGGGGAUUUUCAUACAAACCUCUGCAAGUCAACCGAUCAGAUAACUUUUACUCUAUUAUCUUCUAAAAAAUAUCGUAUCUUUUUUGGUCAAAGAUAUAUUGUAUCAUUUUCAAUUGCCUUUGUGAAGAUCAAGAAGCUAACUUCCUGUUCAGAGCUCAGAUCGUCAGUGGGGUCCAGCAAAAUGGAUGGUCUUAUGUUUUUUGCACCAGUUGCAGCACGAAGUUGGAGAAAUCACUGACUUCACUCCAUUUCAACAAACGUGUGUCACCAAACCGGUUUUAACAGAUUUUGAUAAUUCAUACUUAAUCUCAGCUAUACAAUAUCCAUAUUUGAUUAACAAAUCCAACUUAGCACACUGCAUCUCGGGUAACGUGUCGUGUUUGACACACAAGACGAAACUCACCAAGAUAGAAGCAGCCUCACUGGCUCUUGAGGAGGUUUGCCUCCACAAACACACUCCAUUUAUCUGACGUUUCUGCUACCAUUAUCGCUAUUGUCAUUAACAAGCAAAGCUUAUAUGAACUUGCUGGCAAGCAAUACGUCUUUUAGAUUUUGGUGAUGCCCUACAAUUUUACUACCAACCACCGCACCUUCACAGUGUCUACAUUUACUGAAGAUGUGGCUGUGAAGACUCAUCCAGGGUUUCAGGUUGAAAGCAUCAGCACAGUCCCACAAGCCAGAGUGACAACCACUUGCUUCUGGCAGCCAACCGUGACUGAAUGUUGGAACUGUAUCAGUUAAAUGUUUUGUAUGAAACUAAGUUUACUGAGAUAGGUACAUAAUUCAACACAACCAAAUCCUUAAACAACCAUCACCUUAUAAAUAUUUUAAUUAAUAUCAUAAUAUUUUUUUGGUUCCAA